GGGUGAAAAGCGCGAUUUAAAUUAGUAAAUGGUUCCGGUGGGGGGUAGAGAGACAGCUGCAGCGAUAUCAGAAGGAGGUGUGCGUGCGUGCGUUCAUUGAAUUUUGUGUGCUGUGGAUUUUUUUUGGCUGGUAUUUUGCUGCCUCUGUUCACGGUGUACAAAAUGGAUGCAGAAGAAUGUUGUGCACCUCACCACUUGCGCCUAUUCCGUCUAAUUGUGUGCCGAUUCGGUCUAUGGCCGCUUAUUCCUAGAAAAUUUCUCCUUUCUCUCUCUCUCGCUCUCGCUCUCGCUGGGUGCUUCUGGUGUGUUUUUCAUUGCUCGAUAAUCGCACACCAUUUUCCUCGUUCUUUUGGGCUGCUGCUGGUAGAGUGUGGGGGAGAUUUUCAGCUACAAUUUAUCCAUUUUCUACCCAGCACGAAGAGCACACGCACGCACGCACUUGCACAUGCCAUGAGUGAUUAUCGUGAGCGAUUUUCUCUCUCCCAUCUCUAUCUCUCUCUUUCCUUUUCGUUUUUUUUAUAUCGACGUGCGAUAAAAAUCACCACAAUUGACGUGUGCGUGAGACAGACAUAGUGCGAGAGGCAACAGUCGAGCGAGAGCGUGCAGAGUGCAGCCGAGAGUGAGUGACACAGAAAAACGCACACACACACACACGUGCACAGGGAGUUUCGAGAAAUUUUCCACUCUCUCUCUCUCUCUCUCCCCGGAUUUUGGUUGGGCACACGCGUUGGGCGAGAGUGGGAGUUUUCGCCGUCACUUCCGUGCUAACGUUCUUCGGGAAAGCGUGUGUGUGCGCGACACUGUUAGGGCCAUCAUCUUUCUCACCCAAGUGCUGCUGACCCACAGAAAGUUCGAUCCGCCGCAUCCUAGUGACCCCUGUGCUCUGUGGUGGUGUAGUAGUGUGUCAAAAUACGUGCGGUUGUGUGUAUGUGUCUGUUUGUCAGUGUCAUCAGUGCUGUGCGUGCGUGCUGAAGGGU